GGCGGGGGGGGCAGGGGUAUGUCCUCCUGCUCCUCUUCCUCCUCCGGCUGCCCCUGUUCCGUCCCGCCCCGCCCCGCCAGGACGCAGGUGGCGGCCCUGCCCGGCGGCUGGUGUUCGGCUUUCCAGGUGACGGGGUGCUGAAAUACAUCUCACUGCUGUCAGUUUAGCUCCCCUCCCCCCCAAUGAGUUGUUGGGGUAUUUUUUAAGGGAUGGAACUUGGUUAAAUAAGAUCUCAGAAGGAUAACAUUCUCUAAUCUCCAAAGAUGGCAGCUGUUGCAGUGCUAGAGGAGGUACUGGUUUCCAUUGAAAAUGAGCUGCAAGCAGUGGAGAUGCAGAUUCAGGAGCUUGUGGAUAAACAGCAGGAACUCCUUGAAAAGAAGAUGAGGGUAAAGAACCUGAUAAAGCAGUCCUCAGGAGACUCGGAGGCAGGUGGAAGUAAAGACGCUGAAACAUCAGCUGAGACAUGGAACAAAAAAGAUUUUCCAUGGUAUGAGAAGAUAAAAAGUGCACUUCAGAGCAAGUUUAAGCUCCAGAAGUUUAGGUCCUUGCAACUUGAAACAGUAAAUGCUGCAAUGGCUGGAAAGGACAUAUUUCUUGUCAUGCCUACAGGUGGUGGAAAGAGCCUUUGCUAUCAGUUACCAGCAGUUUGUUCUGACGGUUUCACGCUCGUGAUAUGUCCUUUGAUAUCACUUAUGGAAGAUCAGCUCAUGGUUUUGGAACAGCUUGGUAUUUCUGCAGCUUUAUUAAACGCCUCGAGCAGCAAGGAGCAUGUGAAGUGGGUUCAUACCGAAAUGCUAGACAGAAAUUCGCAACUGAAGCUCAUUUAUGUGACCCCGGAGAAGAUUGCAAAAAGCAAAAUGUUCAUGUCAAAAUUAGAGAAAGCUUAUCAAGCAGGAUGUCUUGCUCGCAUUGCUGUAGAUGAGGUCCAUUGCUGCAGUCAAUGGGGCCAUGACUUCAGGCCUGACUACAAGUCUCUUGGUAUCUUGAAAAGACAGUUUCCCAAUGCUCCCUUGAUUGGAUUGACAGCAACUGCCACAAAUCAUGUUUUAAAGGAUGCUCAGAAAAUUUUGCAUGUUCAGAAGUGCAUUACCUUCACUGCGUCUUUCAACCGGCCCAAUCUUUACUAUGAGGUUCGACAUAAACCUUCAAAUAAUGAAGAUUUCAUUGAGGACAUAGUUAAGAUCAUUAAUGGAAGAUACAAAGGACUUUCAGGAAUCGUUUACUGUUUUUCUCAGAAGGAUUCUGAACAAGUUACUAUGAGUUUGCAGAAACUAGGAAUUAAGGCAGGGACUUACCAUGCAAACAUGGAUGCUAAACAUAAGACCAAAGUUCAUAAAGGGUGGGCAGCAAAUCAGAUCCAGGUUGUAGUGGCGACUGUUGCUUUUGGCAUGGGAAUUGAUAAACCUGAUGUGAGGUUUGUAAUUCAUCAUUCUAUGAGCAAAUCCAUGGAGAACUACUACCAAGAGAGUGGACGUGCAGGUAGAGAUGACCAAAAAGCUGACUGCAUUUUAUAUUACGGUUUUGGAGAUAUAUUCAGAAUCAGCUCAAUGGUAGUGAUGGAAAAUGUAGGGCAAGAGAAGCUGUAUGAUAUGGUGUCUUACUGCCAGAAUAUGAACAAGUGUCGCCGGGUGCUCAUAGCCCGUCAUUUUGAUGAAGUAUGGGAUUCUGCAAACUGCAACAGAAUGUGUGAUAACUGCUGUAGAGAGAACUCAUGUGAGAAAAUGGACAUAACAGGAUACUGCAGGGAUCUAAUCAAGAUACUUGAGCAAGCUGAAAGCAUGAGUGAGAAACUCACCCCACUGAAAUUAGUCGAUGCGUGGUCUGGGAAAGGUGUAUCAAAACUCAGGGUGGCUGAAGUUACUCCACCAAAGCAUCCUCGAGAGGAGAUGGAGAGAAUUAUUGCCCAUUUACUGCUGCAGCAGUAUCUGAAGGAAGACUUCAGCUUCACGGCUUUUGCUACAAUAUCCUACCUGAAGAUAGGACCAAAAGCAAGUUUGCUGAAAAAUGAGGCACAUGUCAUCACUAUACAAGGGAUAAAAAACAAGAAAAGUGUUUACAAGGACAAACCAUCUCAAUCUUCGAAUUCAAAAGGAAGCAGAGAAGAUGCUCAGACUGUUUCAAAGACUGUCCAAGAUUCAACAGUGAAGAACUCACAGGAACAUAAACGGCCUAAUUCUGGGUCUAACUUAAAAGCAAAGAAGCUUAAGCUUCAGGCAGGUGGAGAUGACCAACCAGUAGUUCUUGACUGAGUUUCACAGAUUACGUUUAGGAUUCAAUCAUGUUUGCUUCUCCAUGGACAAUGCAGUGUAAAGACAUGAACAUUUUUUUUAGUUGCCCCGUCCUACCUUCUGCAGUGAGCAAUGAAGUGUGUGCCUCGAAGCCCUUUUUCUUUCCAGGCCUAACCUCACCCCUUCACCCAACCCCGUCCUCCUGAACUGCGGCCAUUCUACACAAAGGCCUUUCCCCAGUGCUCUCUAGGGACUGAAGAAAAUCUCCCCCUACGGGAUUCUUUCGCCUCCCGUUUCAGCAGGGAGACCGUUUACCUGUAUGGAAAGCAGAAACACGUACCUGUUGACGUCCUUUGAUCGGUGUUUCCGGGAACAAGGAGCUGUGCUGCCAGACUGGGAAAGGCCCAACAGUUACUGUGGACGUCGAGCAUUUGCUGAGGUACACGUGAGACUGAAUGCUAGAUUACAUUUUUAAUUGGUUUCUUUUUUUUAAGAUCUUAGCAGCCAACGAACGAUCAGUAAAGCGAGUUCAAGCUCAUUAUGAACUUAAGUUCUGGUAGGUUUCAUUUCAGUUUCCCACACACACAUUCAGACGUACACCAACUUAAAUACAAAACAAACGUGAUUAAGAA